UGGGUGACCUUAAGCCCCGCCCAGCCUCGUUAGCCGUUUCAGCAUCCUUCAGACUUUCAGGUUCUCUUGCUUUGCCCAUCCCCUGCCGCCCGCUGACCUGGAGCCUUUUCCUGGCUCACCUCUGAGCUGCCCUCUGCCCUCUCUGGAAGCUCAAGCCUCCCUGGCCUCCCUGCCCACGCGGGCGUAGCCCAGGGUCAGCGGGGCUGUGACGAACAGGAGAUUGGAUUAAAAUGUCCGCGAUCUCACGAGGCAUCCAGAAGCAGGCCGCCCCGACGUGGUUCCCAGAGCAACGCUGCCACCGGGAACCCAGACUCUGCCCUCGGGCUUGGCUCCACCCAGUGGCGUGACAGCGCUGCAGUUGCAGGCGGGGUGUGUGGGAGAGAGACAGAGAGACAGAGACCGAGAACACCCAGGAAGAGGGCAUCGUCCAGGUGUGGCUUCCACUGGGAAGGACGUCCCCCCUCCCAGCAGAUCCCAGGGUCUAUUGGCUGUGGCCUCAGGAGAGGCCGGGAUGGGGAGGGCACGCUGCUUCUGAAUCAAUGUCACCCAGGACUGAGCUGCGGCUGGUGGCAGCACCUUGGGCCGAUCUCCUGGACCGUCCUGUGUGACCCUCUCCCCAUCUCUCUGGCCUGUGGCCACUCAGGCCCGCUGACAGCGCACACUGGCCUGUGGUGUGCUGGACAGGUCACCCGGGCUUCCUGGGUGCAGGUCGGGGUGAGCCCCGUCGUUACUCAGCUUCUCAUUGCUGUGACCAAAAAGGUCCUUCAAGGCUCACGGUUUCCGAGGUCCGGUCCACGGCUGGUCAGCUCCCUUGCUCUGCUCGUGUGGAGGCAGCAGCGAGGGCUCCGCUCCUGACCAGAGGACGGCUGCUCAGCUGGUGGCAGCCAGGAAGCAGAGAGAGAGCGAGAGAAGUGCCAGGGACCAAACACGGUCCCCAAGGGCACACCGCUGUCCCCAAGGGCACACGGCUUUCGCCAGCCAGACCCCCGGCCUCAGUCACCGCCCAGGACAGGAGUCCAUCAGAAGGAUCAGCCUGCAGGUUAGGCCACAGCCCCCACCGUCUCAUCGCUGCCCCUGGGAUGCUCCUGCAUUGUCUCCCAUGAGCUGGGGGGACCUCCCGGUCACCACAGCAGCUCCACGGGAGGCUCGCUGCCUCCCAGUAUGAACCCUCAUACUUCCGUUGAAGUGGAGGACAGACCUGUCCACCCACUGAGGAGGCCUAGGUCCGCGAGAGCCCUGCAGGACGAUGCAGUCAUGGAGAGAGCGUGUGCUGAUCCUGCUAUGGACCAUGACCUCGGGGACAGGGCCCGGUGGAAGCAGCUGGACUCGGAACACCGUGUUGUGGGACUCCACUCACAGGACAGGCCCAGGGGAGGCAGGUCUUGGGGACAGAACAGUGGCUGGGGCUGCCCGGGGCUGGCGGGGGAGGGGAAGGGCAGGUUCUUGGGAAUGUUCUGGAGCUGGACAGAAGUCAUGGCUGCACAGCUGUAGUGGACUUGAAGCCACUGAGUUGCAAAGCCAACCCACCAACAGGAGGAGAUGGGAAAGCGUUUCCCUGCCGAGCCCCUCCCUCCAGGCUGGGGCACCUAUGUGAGCCUCUCGUGCUCUCUGCGCGGGAAUGUCCAUGGCUGGGAUUGUGCCAAGGAGUGUUUUAUGUGCGUCUUUCGCAUUGAGGACUCCCACCCUGUGAGUUGGGGGGAUAUAUUAGACCCCCCCUUACAGAGAAGAGCCCUGAGGCUCAGAGAGAAGGUGAGUAACUUGCCCAGGGGCACACAGCCUGGGCAGCUGGGACUUGGCCCGGCUGAACAUUUCUGUCGCAACCUGCAAUGGGGUCGAUUUCUUCCUCUUCCCCGUGCUCGUCCACAGGCCACUAGCCUAGAUAGAAGCUUUUCUUGUCUAGAGGUAGCCCCGCUCAUCAGGACGCAGGAACUGAGUCAAGGAGGGAACAAGCUGUGCUAAAGUGGCCGCCUCCUGUGCCUUCAAGUCCCUGCCCAGCCAGGACACCAGGUUCUGCCACACAGCUGGUGAUGAUAGCACUGCAGGGCACCCUCUCUGAGCCCUAAACCACCCGAGGGCAGGUCGCUGGUCCCAACAGGGGCACAGCUGCCCCCAGGGGGCGCUCUGGAGACUCGCAGGGGUUCCAUGAGCUGACAGCCCCCAGAGCCCAGGACUUCCGGCUUCCUGAUGUCCCAGAACUUGACGCCAGCAAACAUCCCCUGAGGACUGUGGUCUGGAGCGAACCCCAUUUCUUUGUUUGCUCUUUGCAUAGUUACACUUUGGCUAUUCCGGGAAAGCAGCCUCCGCAUGAAGAAGACGUUUUCCCAUCCGGGCGGCCACUGCCCUGUUCUGCAUCGUGGAAAAUGAGGGGCAGCUGCAAGGCCACAGAGUCGCCCAGUCCCUGGGGGACGUGGCGGCGACAGCCUUCCCGGGAGCCUCCCUCAGCACGGCAACCCGCCAUGCCACCCGCUCUGAAGUGGCCGGCUCCUCGCCUCCCUCCUGGCAUCCAGCCGUUUGCUGUGGCUGACUCUCCUGGUCACUUUCUAUUCACAGGAGGGCAUUAUAUCAUUAUUAAUUCAUUAUUAUCAUUAUUAUUAUUAUUAUUAUUAUUAUGUGUGCAGGGUUAUGCUUUCUGUGAAAUUGAUUUUAGAUUGAUAAAAGGAGCAUCACAAAUGCUAUAGAAGACCGUGUUGGCCCGAUGAGGUCCAGACCCUUCCAGCCUUAGAAUGAUCAGACGGGACCUCAGCUAACGUUUCCCCAGGGUCUCAGAAAACCAUGCACAGGCACCUUUUAAACAACCCCAUGCAGCGUCCCGCCCUGCGGCCGCUGGGUCAGAGGCUGCCAAGAGCCUGGCCUCGUGGCCCCCUCCGUCCCUCUGUCCACGGGUCUGGACUCUCAGCAACAACAGACCUGCCGUGUUCAUUGCUUCCCCCUCAAAAGAGCGAUGUGUGCGGGUGGCCUGACUCUGUGCCCGCAGUCUUCGGGCCUCAACUGGCCAACGUGCCCCGGGGACGUUUCCUCCUUGUGGUUUUAGUGGAAGGAAAAAGUGACCCGUGAACAGCCACCGGAGGCUCUGGGCGCCAAUCUCCACGAGGUCGAGUGAGAUCCUGCCUCGUGACACUUCUCCUGUUAAUCAUUGCUCCCGGGCUGAUCUCUCGUCUCCUCCCCAGGCUCUUCCAAGAGCAGCUCGGGACAUUCCGGGCAGGCACCGCCCUCCCAUCCCAGUGGGACACUGUUCACAAUGGCUGGUGUAGAGACCCUUGCAGAGCGGACAGGAGGAGGACAGGGCAGGAGUGGGAGGUGAGGGUCAGACUCCAUCUGGGCAGGAUGGGGACCCUGCAGCCGGAGGUGCUCAGAGCCAAGAGCUGUCCCCGAAGAGCCACACGCACCCAGGGCCCUGGACGUGCCCCUGCCAGGGAAUGGGGCAUGGAGGGGGUGGACUGGGACACAGUGGGAGGGACUCUUCACAGCAGAGAGGGCACCAGAGGCAGGCAGGGAGGACCGUCAGAAGACUGAGGCCGUGAGCCACGGGGCGCCAAGGACCGCCGGAGCCCCGGGAGCAGAGGGGCAGAGCGGGACUCUUCUCUGGAGCCCUCGGAGGGCAGGUGGACAUGGCCCUGCCACAGGGUCACAGCAGUCCUCUGGCCUCAGCGUGGGGGAGGGGGACACGCUCUUCUUGUCUUCAGGUCCGAGCCUGUGGCCGCCGCACCUGGCGCAUCUGGGGCGGCCACAGGAAGCUCACAGAGGCGGGUGCCACAGAGCAGAUGAGUGAGCUGUUCUCCCUCUGGGCACCCCCACUGUCCCCAGAAAGGCUGAGCUAGGGUUGGGAGCUUGAGCACUGUGUGACAGGGGGAAGGCCGGCUGCUUCUGCGCCUUGCCCACGGUGGGGAGGGGGGUUGGACGGCACCCGGGCCUUCUUUUAGCACCAGCUCCACAGGCCCCUCCCCACGGGCACACUGGUGACUGCCGCGGUGGCUGCGUGGAGCUGUCCCGCAGUCCUGGCCCUGCUCGGGUGCACAUGGGCAAGCACACAUGUCCUCUGCUGCACCGAUGACCUCACUCACUCUGUAAGGGCGCUGUCCUUCCCACUUGUCUCUCACUGAACACCGGGCGCCGUUUAGCUGCAAGAGGCUUCCGCACAACGUCAACUAAAACGUCGUCACUUAAACCAUCCGGCUCUGGAGAGCUACAGUGCCAGCCCCAGAAACAGAAGUGUGCUCAGUGGUGAGGAGUUCCAGCUAACCAAGGGACAGCCAAGGUCACACCUCCCGGAAAUGUGACUGUGGGGCCCAAACGCCCGCCACUGCACCGCGCUGCCUCUCGUGUCGCGGUCCCUCCAGCCUCAGGCUCAAGUGUCUCAGGCCACGUCGGCCCCUGUCGUUCGGUUCCGGCCUCCCCUUCUUUCUUCCUUUCAUUUUUGGUUGGUGGCCCUGGGAAUAGAAUGCCAGGCCCUGCACCUGCCAGGCAGGUGCCCUACCAACUGAGCCACAUCCCCAGCCCACUACUCCAUCUUCCUUCAGCUUUAGAACCCUUGGAGUGCAUGACCACUGGCCGAGGACUACAUCUCCCUGCCUCCCUUGCAGCUAGGCAUGGCCAUGUGAUCAGCAGAGAGCUGAGUGAAACUUCCUAGCCUUGUCCUUAUAUUCCCUCUACCUGGCUGGAAUGCAGACGUGCUGGCAGGAGCUGGAGCAGCCAGCUUAGAUCUCAUGGAAACCACAUAUUGAAGAUGGCAGACCAACAAGAUAAAAAUAAAAGAGCACCAGAGUAGCCUGUUAGCCUGAAUUGCUUAAUCGAGGGUGUUUCACAAGAAAGGAACAAAAUUCUAUUUUGUUUAAGCCACUGUUGGCUUGGCCUUUGUUCCAGCAGUGAGAAUGCCACCCUCAUGAAUGCGAACCAUCAUGUGCCCCUGCCCUCCGAGGGGCACAGUCCCACUGAAUGGAGUGCAUGUUGAGCACUGAUGCGGCUGAGUGGCGCGGGCCCUCCAGGAGCACUGGGGCCGUGCAAGCGGGCACCGCAUCAGUGCCCACGUCUUCUCCCGCUGUCUCCACUCCUACCCACGCCUGCCAGGGCAGGCAGCCGCUCCUGUCCCCACCCCGCAUACCUGUGCCCACCAAUGCAGUCUUCUUGAGGGCAGCUCUCAGGAAGCACCAGACCUGCCCAUCUGCACCAAGUGGGCCUGGACAUGUCCUUCCCCCAGGCCCCCCUUUCCCUGGUGACUCCCCACAGCUCCCACUGGACCUGACGAGGUGGACUCUCUGUCCCCCCCGCGUCUCCCAGCUCCCCAGCCGGCCAGAGCUCUCCCCAGCAUGCCAAGAGUCCUGAGCUCCUCAAGUGCUUGACUGAGCCAGGACUGGACUGGACACUCUGUUGGCAGCACUAACUGAUGCAUGGAAGCCACCGUCCUCCUCUGCCCCUGACUGGCGAGAGCACCUGGGCCAGCAGCACCCUGUGUGAGCUCUGCCCUCCCCUGGAAGGCAAGGUCAAGGAGUGCUGACCUGCAGUGCCCACCACCUGCAGCCGCCCGAAAUGCAGGCCUAAGACGGAACUCGGGAAAAGGACGAGGCACCCUCUUGUGCCUCGGAGCACGUGAUUUGUGGGAAAUCUGUCCCUGGCGCUAGGAGGGCCUCUCCUGGUGCCUUCUGCUCCGUGAUGGAGGGGACAGCCAGCUAAAGCUUCCACUCUGCAGCCCUGCUCAGCAGGCCUCGGUGCUGGACAUCUUGAUGCCCGAGGGGCCUCCCUCCCCUCCCCAGACUGAGCUGAGAAAGCACCCCUCCCUGGACCUCGGGUUCAGCCUGGCCUGAAACCGGAAGGAGGGAGGCUGGCCGUGGUCUUGACCAAAGGCCCCUCGUCCCUCCUGCGACUGAGUCCAGGAUCCCAGAGAACUGUGCUUCCUGCCAGGCCAAGCGGGCAGCAGUCAGUAGUGAAGGACUGGGAGGAGCAGAAGGGUCCCAGCUCCAGGCCGUUCAGGGUGACGGUGGCACUGGGGAGCCCAGGUGGCCUCUGCAGACAUCUCCUGGGACCUACCCCUCGUCCCCUAAGCUGGUACCUCGGACUGCGCGGCCCUGGUUCAGGGGGAGGAGACGAGAUGCCUCUUUCGACAUUGGUUCUAAAACACGUUCCUGUUUCAGAAACACUGGAGUGUGAAUUAUAUACCGUGGCCAGUGUGGGCUCAGAGGGGACGUUCUGGACGUAGGUUUCAGCUGGAGGGAAGUGGGCUAAGAGAAAAGGCUCCACUCUACCCAGAAGGGGCCCAAGAUGGGUACUCGGACGCAGGGAGAGACAUCCAGGAACCCCGGGAAGGCCGGCAAGUGUGGGCACAGGUCCUGGGGUUCUGAGCACCUCGGGUUUUCUUCUUGGUGUUGUUCUGUUUCUGAUUUCCUGAGGUUGUACCCGGACAACUAACACAACAGUAGCUGCCAGCAUCUUCCCACAUCAGCACUUCACACUUUGAGCCUCCCAAGAGCCCACUGGGACAGGAACGCUGGGGAUCGCCAUUUGCAGACUAGAAGUCUGAGGCUCAGAGAGAUGGACCAAUUUUCCCAGGGCCACACAGCUAUCUCUGGUGGAGCUGGGAUCAAACCCUUCAUUCUGACCCCAGAACAGAGGUGAUUUUUAAGACCACGGGGUGCCUUCCACGUGGGAUGGGUUUGCUCGUGUGCCCAGCGUGUCUGCGUUGCCAUCCGACGCUGGCUUCCCCCCAGCUAGCAGCCGCGGAUCCUCAGACUGCCUCUCCAGAGCGUUUGGAUCAUGGACCCUCAGAAACUUCCCGAGGACUGCGUGUGAAGUUCCGCAUACAGGAGAGGUCCUGUGUCCCCCACCUUCUGAGUCUGGCCGACUUUGCAAACACGACAAUCGCCAGUUCCAUCCAUUUCCCUGCAAAUGCCACGAUUUCAUUCUCUUUAUGGCUGAGAGCACGCCACUGCGUAUGUACCCUGUUUUCUCUGUCCACUCAUCCUGUGAGGACACCUAGGCUGGUGCCGCAGCUCGGCUAUUGCGCUCUGUGCUGCUGGGACCCCGGUGGGCUGUCUCCCUGUCCCACGUAGGAUGUCCUUGAUCCUUCAGCGAAACCCUGAGGCGUGUGUCCCCGGGGCCUGGGGUGGAGCCUCCACACUGAUGUCCAUGGUGGCUGUGCUCAUUGACAGUCCACCCACAGUGUCCACUGCUCCCUCCCACCAGCCUUUAGUGUUACUUGUGUUCUGGAUUCAGCCUCUGACUGGAGUAAGAUGAAAUCUCAGUGUGGUUUUGAUUUGCAUUUCCUUAACUGCAUUUCUCCUUUUGAGAAGUCUUUUAAUUCGUUUGCCCAUAUAUUAAUUGGGGUUAUCUGAUUUUUUGGUGUGAAGUUUUCUGAGUUCUUUAUAUAUUCCAGACACUGCCUGUGUCUAAAAGUGGAGUGGUGACCCUACGUUUUCUUCUAGGAGUUGCCUAGUUUCUCAUCUAUUUGAGUUGAUUUUCGUGCUGGGUGAGAGGUGAGGGUCCAGGCUCCCUCACUGCAUGUGGACAACCAGUUGUCCCGUGUGUUCAAAAGGCUGCCUUUUCUCCAGGUCAGUGUGUGGCUCCUUCGUCAGGGGUCAGAUGACUGAGGUGUGUGGACUUGUCCCUGGGCCUCCUGUUCUGUACCAGUGGCCUGUGUGUCUGUUUUUAUGCUGGUACCAUGUACUUUUGUUAUCAACGCGGGGAUUUUUAAAAUGCUGAGUAAAAGAUGGAACCACU